rnacentral:rRNA from 1 species
UACAGGGGGUGCAAACGUUGCUCGGAAUUAUUGGGCGUAAAGCUCGCGUAGGCGGCCACUUAAGUCGGAUGUGAAAGCCCCUGGCUCAACUGGGGAAGUGCACCCGAAACUGAAUGGCUUGAAUGCAAAAGAGGGUCGCGGAAUUCCCGGUGUAGAGGUGAAAUUCGUAGAUAUCGGGAGGAACACCGGUGGCGAAGGCGGCGACCUGGGUUGACAUUGACGCUGAGGCGCGAAAGCGUGGGGAGCAAACAGG